GGGUUGUGAGGUUAAGCGACUAAGCGUACACGGUGGAUGCCCUGGCAGUCAGAGGCGAUGAAGGACGUGCUAAUCUGCGAUAAGCGUCGGUGAGGUGAUAUGAACCGUUAUAACCGGCGAUUUCCGAAUGGGGAAACCCAGUGUGUUUCGACACACUAUCAUUAACUGAAUCCAUAGGUUAAUGAGGCGAACCGGGGGAACUGAAACAUCUAAGUACCCCGAGGAAAAGAAAUCAACCGAGAUUCCCCCAGUAGCGGCGAGCGAACGGGGAGGAGCCCAGAGCCUGAAUCAGUGUGUGUGUUAGUGGAAGCGUCUGGAAAGGCGCGCGAUACAGGGUGACAGCCCCGUACACAAAAAUGCACAUGCUGUGAGCUCGAUGAGUAGGGCGGGACACGUGGUAUCCUGUCUGAAUAUGGGGGGACCAUCCUCCAAGGCUAAAUACUCCUGACUGACCGAUAGUGAACCAGUACCGUGAGGGAAAGGCGAAAAGAACCCCGGCGAGGGGAGUGAAAAAGAACCUGAAACCGUGUACGUACAAGCAGUGGGAGCCUCUUAAUGGGGUGACUGCGUACCUUUUGUAUAAUGGGUCAGCGACUUAUAUUCUGUAGCAAGGUUAACCGAAUAGGGGAGCCGAAGGGAAACCGAGUCUUAACUGGGCGUUAAGUUGCAGGGUAUAGACCCGAAACCCGGUGAUCUAGCCAUGGGCAGGUUGAAGGUUGGGUAACACUAACUGGAGGACCGAACCGACUAAUGUUGAAAAAUUAGCGGAUGACUUGUGGCUGGGGGUGAAAGGCCAAUCAAACCGGGAGAUAGCUGGUUCUCCCCGAAAGCUAUUUAGGUAGCGCCUCGUGAAUUCAUCUCCGGGGGUAGAGCACUGUUUCGGCAAGGGGGUCAUCCCGACUUACCAACCCGAUGCAAACUGCGAAUACCGGAGAAUGUUAUCACGGGAGACACACGGCGGGUGCUAACGUCCGUCGUGAAGAGGGAAACAACCCAGACCGCCAGCUAAGGUCCCAAAGUCAUGGUUAAGUGGGAAACGAUGUGGGAAGGCCCAGACAGCCAGGAUGUUGGCUUAGAAGCAGCCAUCAUUUAAAGAAAGCGUAAUAGCUCACUGGUCGAGUCGGCCUGCGCGGAAGAUGUAACGGGGCUAAACCAUGCACCGAAGCUGCGGCAGCGACGCUUAUGCGUUGUUGGGUAGGGGAGCGUUCUGUAAGCCUGUGAAGGUGUGCUGUGAGGCAUGCUGGAGGUAUCAGAAGUGCGAAUGCUGACAUAAGUAACGAUAAAGCGGGUGAAAAGCCCGCUCGCCGGAAGACCAAGGGUUCCUGUCCAACGUUAAUCGGGGCAGGGUGAGUCGACCCCUAAGGCGAGGCCGAAAGGCGUAGUCGAUGGGAAACAGGUUAAUAUUCCUGUACUUGGUGUUACUGCGAAGGGGGGACGGAGAAGGCUAUGUUGGCCGGGCGACGGUUGUCCCGGUUUAAGCGUGUAGGCUGGUUUUCCAGGCAAAUCCGGAAAACCAAGGCUGAGGCGUGAUGACGAGGCACUACGGUGCUGAAGCGACAAAUGCCCUGCUUCCAGGAAAAGCCUCUAAGCAUCAGGUAACAUCAAAUCGUACCCCAAACCGACACAGGUGGUCAGGUAGAGAAUACCAAGGCGCUUGAGAGAACUCGGGUGAAGGAACUAGGCAAAAUGGUGCCGUAACUUCGGGAGAAGGCACGCUGAUAUGUAGGUGAAGCGACUUGCUCGUGGAGCUGAAAUCAGUCGAAGAUACCAGCUGGCUGCAACUGUUUAUUAAAAACACAGCACUGUGCAAACACGAAAGUGGACGUAUACGGUGUGACGCCUGCCCGGUGCCGGAAGGUUAAUUGAUGGGGUUAGCGGCAACGCGAAGCUCUUGAUCGAAGCCCCGGUAAACGGCGGCCGUAACUAUAACGGUCCUAAGGUAGCGAAAUUCCUUGUCGGGUAAGUUCCGACCUGCACGAAUGGCGUAAUGAUGGCCAGGCUGUCUCCACCCGAGACUCAGUGAAAUUGAACUCGCUGUGAAGAUGCAGUGUACCCGCGGCAAGACGGAAAGACCCCGUGAACCUUUACUAUAGCUUGACACUGAACAUUGAGCCUUGAUGUGUAGGAUAGGUGGGAGGCUUUGAAGUGUGGACGCCAGUCUGCAUGGAGCCGACCUUGAAAUACCACCCUUUAAUGUUUGAUGUUCUAACGUUGGCCCCUAAUCGGGGUUGCGGACAGUGUCUGGUGGGUAGUUUGACUGGGGCGGUCUCCUCCUAAAGAGUAACGGAGGAGCACGAAGGUUGGCUAAUCCUGGUCGGACAUCAGGAGGUUAGUGCAAUGGCAUAAGCCAGCUUGACUGCGAGCGUGACGGCGCGAGCAGGUGCGAAAGCAGGUCAUAGUGAUCCGGUGGUUCUGAAUGGAAGGGCCAUCGCUCAACGGAUAAAAGGUACUCCGGGGAUAACAGGCUGAUACCGCCCAAGAGUUCAUAUCGACGGCGGUGUUUGGCACCUCGAUGUCGGCUCAUCACAUCCUGGGGCUGAAGUAGGUCCCAAGGGUAUGGCUGUUCGCCAUUUAAAGUGGUACGCGAGCUGGGUUUAGAACGUCGUGAGACAGUUCGGUCCCUAUCUGCCGUGGGCGCUGGAGAACUGAGGGGGGCUGCUCCUAGUACGAGAGGACCGGAGUGGACGCAUCACUGGUGUUCGGGUUGUCAUGCCAAUGGCACUGCCCGGUAGCUAAAUGCGGAAGAGAUAAGUGCUGAAAGCAUCUAAGCACGAAACUUGCCCCGAGAUGAGUUCUCCCUGAGACUUAGAGUCUCCUGAAGGAACGUUGAAGACGACGACGUUGAUAGGCCGGGUGUGUAAGCGCAGCGAUGCGUUGAGCUAACCGGUACUAAUGAACCGUGAGGCUUAACCUUACAACGCCGAAG
rnacentral:rRNA from 1 species